AGUUACAGAUGGAAAAAAGCUUAUAUAUUAACUCAAACACCAUUACCAAAUACCAUCAUAGAUUUCUGGAGAAUGGUUUUAGAACGAAAUGUUACUAUUAUAAUCAACAUGGACUCUACUGAAAAAUCAGCGGAUAUAGGUCAUUUUCUCCCAACCAAAGGUGAACUAGUUUGUGGACCAUUUAUAAUUACUAUAGAAGAUGAAAUAACACAAGAUGGCGAUUAUUAUAACAUUGUUACGUGUUUGAUUAGAGACGGAAGUGACGGUAACUCGGAGAAGAAAAUAAAGGUUUAUCGGUGCAACUUCUGGGACACAAAGAAGAAAAUACCGAAAUCUGCAAAUCCUAUCUUCGAAAUCCUUGACGAUAUAAAAUCAUGGUCUAAGAACGAUGAAGAUGGUCCCCUCUUAGUUCAUUGUCUCAAUGGUGUAGAGAAAUCGGGUGUAUUCUGUGUUCUAGCUGCUUUAUUAGAAAGAUUAACCAUAGAACAAGAUGUCAGUAUUUUACAGACUUUAGUUCAAUUACGAUUUUCUAGACCUCAGAUUAUGGCAUCGUAUGAGCAAGUUAAGUUUUGUUUUGAUGCUGUUGGAGUUUACUUAGAUGAAUUUUCUUCUUAUGCAAAUUCUUGUUUAUAAUAUUCAUUUACAUCCAAAUAUAUUUUUAUACACACACAUUUUCAUGCGAUCGUAUUUUGUCGAAGCCCCAGUCCGUCCGUCCCGUCCGCCACAUUUGGCUGUGGACACUCUACAGGUCGGUCACAGUUUUUAUCCGAUUUUGACGAGACUUGAAAUAUAGGUUUAUAUCCCAAAGAUCUUAUUUCCUUUCUCUCGGC